GAUGAACGCUGGCGGCGUGCCUAAUACAUGCAAGUCGAGCGAACGGACGAGAAGCUUGCUUCUCUGAUGUUAGCGGCGGACGGGUGAGUAACACGUGGAUAACCUACCUAUAAGACUGGGAUAACUUCGGGAAACCGGAGCUAAUACCGGAUAAUAUUUUGAACCGCAUGGUUCAAAAGUGAAAGACGGUCUUGCUGUCACUUAUAGAUGGAUCCGCGCUGCAUUAGCUAGUUGGUAAGGUAACGGCUUACCAAGGCAACGAUGCAUAGCCGACCGGAGAGGGUGAUCGGCCACACUGGAACUGAGACACGGUCCAGACGCCUACGGGAGGCAGCAGUAGGGAAUCUUCCGCAAUGGGCGAAAGCCUGACGGAGCAACGCCGCGUGAGUGAUGAAGGUCUUCGGAUCGUAAAACUCUGUUAUUAGGGAAGAACAUAUGUGUAAGUAACUGUGCACAUCUUGACGGUACCUAAUCAGAAAGCCACGGCUAACUACGUG
rnacentral:rRNA from 1 species